CCUACGGGAGGCAGCAGUGAGGAAUAUUGGUCAAUGGCCGCAGGGCUGAACCAGCCAAGUCGCGUGAGGGAUGACGGUCCUAUGGAUUGUAAACCUCUUUUGUCAGGGAGCAAAGGGCGUCACGUGUGACUCAUUGAGAGUACCCGAAGAAAAAGCAUCGGCUAACUCCGUGCGAGCAGCCGCGGUAAUACGGAGGAUGCGAGCGUUAUCCGGAUUUAUUGGGUUAAAGGGGUGCGCAGGGGGAGGUGCAAGUCAGCGGUCAAAUUGCGGGGCUCAACCCCGUACUGCCGUUGAAACUGCAUCCCUUGAGUGCGCGAGAAGUAUGCGGAAUGCGUGGUGUAGCGGUGAAAUGCAUAGAUAUCACGCAGAACUCCGAUUGCGAAGGCAGCAUACCGGCGCGCAACUGACGCUCAUGCACGAAAGCGUGGGUAUCGAACAGGAUUAGAUACCCUGGUAGUC
rnacentral:rRNA from 1 species